rnacentral:lncRNA from 1 species
UACAAGAACCCACACAAGGGUGACUCAAAACAUAAACUCGGAGAUGAAUGAACAAUUUCCAUCCACAAAAGCCCACAUAAAGGCGGCUACUUAAACCCACACCGGGGAAGCUUACAAUACCAAGAAACCAAAACCGACACUAGAUAAGGCUAAGCAACCCGAGCGAAUGAAAAGAUAAUUAGCAGAUUUUAAACUUUUGUAGAGGCCAAUGAUCGGAAAUUGCAGCUGCUGCUGGCUAUAGCUCGCCACGCGGAAAAUUUCACCUCCUACACCAUGACUUAUCGCUGCUGCUACACGCACGCAAAACGAUAACGCCCAAGAACUCAAACCCUGCGACUUCAUGACACGACAGGAAGAACCGCUACACGGUCACCUUUCCUUCAGAUAAUGGUGCGACGCACAUCGCGCCCACUUACUCAUAGAUAGAAGCCCAGAUACAAACUCAACUAAGACGAGGCCUUACCAUACGGACCCUCCAGAACCACAGCCUGAGAACCGAAAAGCGAUCACUGCACCCACCACUCUACGAAUAACCUCUGCUAACCCAACUCUCACCACGCUUUAACACUACCACCACUAACGGAUUCAAGAAACCCACCAACACACUAAGGAAAAUUUUUAAAGACCAAGCUAUGACAGCAAACCAACUGAGAACUAAACAACAACCAACCAACACAAAUACCACAAAGACAAGCCACUAACACAGACAAAAAUAACAACAACAACACCGAAACCUACAACAAAGACAACAAGACCUAGAACUACGACACUCGGGAUUGAAAGACAUCAGCAAAGGGAAUAAGCUGGAACGAUACCGGCGGGAUGAGACUCCGUCGAAAGACACCAAGAGACAGAACUUCUCACGCGCCACCACCUCCUGCACCGGCCCUUCAAACGACGGAUAGAGCUAUAACACACCGAGGCCGGUGAGAGAAACAUCCUCAACAGAUUCACGCGCCGCCUAACGGAGAGGAACACCGGAGAUCUCCAAACGGAAAACGAGAUCUGACAAACCUCAAACCCUAAAAACCGACUCCCUGAACUGACCAACCUUACACGCCUCGCCGGGACUCCAAAGACUGACGAACUCCACAACCGAACGAAACCUCAUGAGCAGAUCGCUGGAGAAGUGAAGUCGGAAGAAACCAGAACCCCUUGCAUCUUGGACGGAGGAGAGGAACUAGAAGCAGAGAGCAAACAAAGACGAGGACUAAAGGCUAGGAGAGACGCCUCCGACACCGUCUAAUCCGGCGCCGGAGCAAGGCGGAGGUUUCUAUUGUUGUUUGCAAAAGUCUAUUUUGCUAUUC